GUGAGUAGUUCAGAGUUUGAUCCUGGCUCAGGACGAACGCUGGCGGCGUGCCUAACACAUGCAAGUCGAACGAAGAAAUUAUUUCGGUAAUUUCUUAGUGGCGAACGGGUGAGUAACACGUAAACAACCUGCCUUUUAGAUGGGGACAACAUCUCGAAAGGGAUGCUAAUACCGAAUGUUUUAGCUUUACCGCAUGGCAGAGCUAAUAAAGGUGGCCUCUAUUUAUAAGCUACCGCUAAAAGAGGGGUUUGCGUCUGAUUAGCUAGUUGGUGAGGUAACGGCCCACCAAGGCAAUGAUCAGUAGCCGGUCUGAGAGGAUGAACGGCCACACUGGGACUGAGACACGGCCCAG
rnacentral:rRNA from 1 species